rnacentral:rRNA from 1 species
UACGUAGGGGGCAAGCGUUGUUCGGAAUUACUGGGCGUAAAGGGCGCGUAGGCGGUCAGCACAAGUCAGUUGUGAAAUCUCCGGGCUUAACUCGGAAAGGUCAACUGAUACUGUGCGACUAGAGUGCAGAAGGGGCAACUGGAAUUCUCGGUGUAGCGGUGAAAUGCGUAGAUAUCGAGAGGAACACCUGCGGCGAAGGCGGGUUGCUGGGCUGACACUGACGCUGAUGCGCGAAAGCCAGGGGAGCGAAGCGGG